UAUUUAGAGGUAAAAUGUUAAGCGGGC
rnacentral:sRNA from 1 species